UCGAGAAUCCUUCGCAAUGGGCGCAAGCCUGACGAUGCGACGCCGUGUGUAUGAUGAAGGCCUUCGGGUUGUAAAGUCCUUUCGCCUAAGAACAAGAGAAGUUGGCUAACAUCCAACUAAUUUGAGGGUACUAGGUAAAGAAGCACCGGCUAACUCCGUGCCAGCAGCUGCGGUAAUACGGAGGGUGCGAGCAUUAAUCGGAUUUAUUGGGCGUAAAGGGCGCGUAGGCGGGUAUAUAAGUCAGAUGUGAAAUCCCGGGGCUCAACCCCGGAACAGCAUUUGAAACUGCAUACCUAGAGGGUAGUCGGAGAAAACAGAAUUCCACAAGUAGCGGUGAAAUGCGUAGAUAUGUGGAAGAAGACCGGUGGCGAAGGCGGUUUUCUAGAUUAUACCUGACGCUGAGGCGCGAAAGCAAGGGGAUCAAACA
rnacentral:rRNA from 1 species